rnacentral:rRNA from 1 species
AGUGAACGCUGGCGGCAGGCCUAACACAUGCAAGUCGAACGGCAGCACAGAGGAGCUUGCUCCUUGGGUGGCGAGUGGCGGACGGGUGAGGAAUGCGUCGGAAUCUGCCUAUUUGUGGGGGAUAACGUAGGGAAACUUACGCUAAUACCGCAUACGACCUACGGGUGAAAGUGGGGGACCGCAAGGCCUCACGCAGAUAGAUGAGCCGACGCCGGAUUAGCUAGUUGGCGGGGUAAAGGCCCACCAAGGCGACGAUCCGUAGCUGGUCUGAGAGGAUGAUCAGCCACACUGGGACUGAGACACGGCCCAGACUCCUACGGGAGGCAGCAGUGGGGAAUAUUGGACAAUGGGCGCAAGCCUGAUCCAGCCAUGCCGCGUGUGUGAAGAAGGCCUUCGGGUUGUAAAGCACUUUUGUCCGGAAAGAAAUCCAAUCGCUUAGUACUCGGUUGGGAUGACGGUACCGGAAGAAUAAGCACCGGCUAACUUCGUGCCAGCAGCCGCGGUAAUAC